ensembl:misc_RNA Y_RNA Y RNA
GGUUGGUCUGAGUGCAGUUGUGUUUACAACUAAUUUUUGUGUAAACACACAACAUACAACCAGUGUUUACAUCCAGUUACAGAUUCCUUUGUUCCUUCUUCACUUCCACUGCUUCACUCAACCAGCCUUAA